AGAGUUUGAUCCUGGCUCAGGAUGAACGCUAGCUACAGGCUUAACACAUGCAAGUCGAGGGGUAGCAGGGUAGCAAUACCGCUGACGACCGGCGCACGGGUGAGUAACACGUAUCCAACCUUCCCAUAACUCAGGGAUAGCCUUUCGAAAGAAAGAUUAAUACCUGAUAGUACUUUUUCAAGGCAUCUUGAAAAGUUAAGAUUUAUUGGUUAUGGAUGGGGAUGCGUUCCAUUAGAUAGUUGGUGAGGUAACGGCUCACCAAGUCUUCGAUGGAUAGGGGUUCUGAGAGGAAGGUCCCCCACAUUGGUACUGAGACACGGACCAAACUCCUACGGGAGGCAGCAGUGAGGAAUAUUGGUCAAUGGGCGAGAGCCUGAACCAGCCAAGUAGCGUGAAGGAUGAAAGGUCCUAUGGAUUGUAAACUUCUUUUAUAGUAGAAUAAAGUGAUCCACGUGUGGAUUUUUGUAUGUAUACUAUGAAUAAGGAUCGGCUAACUCCGUGCCAGCAGCUGC
rnacentral:rRNA from 1 species